AUUCCAGCUCCAAUAGCGUAUAUUAAAGUUGUUGCAGUUAAAAAGCUCGUAGUUGGAUUUCUGGCGGGAUGAACACGCCCUCAGCUGAGUGUGCAUGAGCGUCUCACCAUCCUUCUGUUAACCCUUAAGGUUUUAACGACCUUCUGGGGGCUCAGAUAUUUUACCUUGAGAAAAUUAGAGUGUUUCAGGCAGGCUAGCGCCGGGAUACAUUAGCAUGGAAUAAUGGAAUAGGACUUUGGUUCUAUUUUGUUGGUUUCUAGGACCGAAGUAAUGAUUAAUAGGGACAGUUGGGGGCAUUAGUAUUUAAUUGUCAGAGGUGAAAUUCUUGGAUUUAUGAAGGACUAACUUAUGCGAAAGCAUUUGCCAAGGAUGUUUUCAUUG
rnacentral:rRNA from 1 species